rnacentral:rRNA from 1 species
GACGAACGCUGGCGGCGUGCUUAACACAUGCAAGUCGAACGGAAAGGCCCUGCUUUUGUGGGGUGCUCGAGUGGCGAACGGGUGAGUAACACGUGAGUAACCUGCCCUUGACUUUGGGAUAACUUCAGGAAACUGGGGCUAAUACCGGAUAGGAGCUCCUGCUGCAUGGUGGGGGUUGGAAAGUUUCGGCGGUUGGGGAUGGACUCGCGGCUUAUCAGCUUGUUGGUGGGGUAGUGGCUUACCAAGGCUUUGACGGGUAGCCGGCCUGAGAGGGUGACCGGCCACAUUGGGACUGAGAGACGGCCCAGACUCCUACGGGAGGCAGCAGUGGGGAAUAUUGCACAAUGGGCGGAAGCCUGAUGCAGCAACGCCGCGUGCGGGAUGACGGCCUUCGGGUUGCAAACCGCUUUCGCCUGUGACGAAGCGUGAGUGACGGUAAUGGGUAAAGAAGCACCGGCUAACUACGUG